CAGUAGCCGCGGGAAUACGAAGGGAGCUGGCGUUGCUCGGAAUCACUGGGCGUAAAGGGUGCGUAGGCGGGUCUUUAAGUCAGGGGUGAAAUCCUGGAGCUCAACUCCAGAACUGCCUUUGAUACUGAAGAUCUUGAGUUCGGGAGAGGUGAGUGGAACUGCGAGUGUAGAGGUGAAAUUCGUAGAUACUCGCAAGAACACCAGUGGCGAAGGCGGCUCACUGGCCCGAUACUGACGCUGAGGCACGAAACCGUGGGGAGCAAACAGGAUUAGAUACCCCAGUAGUCCCUGUCUCUUAUAC
rnacentral:rRNA from 1 species